GACGAACGCUGGCGGCGUGCUUAACACAUGCAAGUCGAGCGAGGCUCGCUCCUUCGGGAGCGAUGCCCUAGCGGCGAACGGGUGAGUAACACGUGGGCAACCUGCCCCUAGCACUGGGAUAACUCCGGGAAACCGGGGCUAAUACCGGAUACGACCUCGGGAGGCAUCUCCCGUGGUGGAAAGGUUUUCUGGCUAGGGAUGGGCCCGCGGCCUAUCAGCUUGUUGGUGGGGUAACGGCCCACCAAGGCGACGACGGGUAGCCGGCCUGAGAGGGCGACCGGCCACACUGGGACUGAGACACGGCCCAGACUCCUACGGGAGGCAGCAGUGGGGAAUAUUGCACAAUGGGCGAAAGCCUGAUGCAGCGACGCCGCGUGAGGGAUGACGGCCUUCGGGUUGUAAACCUCUUUCAGCUCCGACGAAGCGAAAGUGACGGUAGGAGCAGAAGAAGCACCGGCCAACUACGUGCCAGCCGCCGCGGUAACAC
rnacentral:rRNA from 1 species